rnacentral:rRNA from 1 species
GAUGAACGCUGGCGGCGUGCCUAACACAUGCAAGUCGAGCGAACAGACGAGGAGCUUGCUCCUCUGACGUUAGCGGCGGACGGGUGAGUAACACGUGGAUAACCUACUUAUAAGACUUGGAUAAUUUCGGGAAACCGGAGCUAAUACUGCAUAAUAUAUUGAACCGCAUGGUUCAAUAGUGAAAGACGGCUUUGCUGUCACUUAUAGAUGGAUUCGCGCCGCAUUAGCUAGUUGGUAAGGUAACGGCUUACCAAGGCAACGAUGCGUAGCCGACCUGAGAGGAUGAUCGGCCACACUGGAACUGAGACACGGUCCAGACUCCUACGGGAGGCAGCAGUAGGGAAUCUUCCGCAAUGGGCGAAAGCCUGACGGAGCAACGCCGCGUGGGUGAUGAAGGUCUUCGGAUCGUAAAGCUCUGUUAUUGGGGAAGAACAAAUGUGUAAGUAACUAUGGACGUCUUGACGGUACCUAAUCAAAAAGCCACGGCUAACUACGUG